GUCGGCAGAGGACGACGUCAGCGGUGGGUUCUUUCCGGAGGAGCCAAAUGGGUCGGGGCUGUUAGACGAAGUGAUUCAAGGGUUUCUCCCGAAACCGGCAGAAAAGGUGUACUCUGAGUUUCCCGGAAACUCAAAUUUCUCACCGGCGGCCAGCAACGUUAAGAUGGAGCGGCCGGCAACGUACAUUGACGUAGAAGGAUAUGGUAACGGCGGAUGUGAUCUGGAAUACUAUCAAAGGAUGCAUCAGGACUACUAUGGUAAUCAAGUGUUCGCGGCGGAGGAGGAUUGUGAUUCGAUUUAUCAGUACACGGCGACGGCGGCGGCAAGGAUUCAUCAGAAUGCUUAUGCUAAUUUGUACUAGCUAUAGCCGUAAAUAAUAUAUUUAAGUGUCUAAUUAUUUCCUUAGCGGUAAAAUCAAGCUUUUGAUUGAGUGAAAGAAGGCUAAUUAGUAGCCUUUUUUUAACAUCAAAAAUGAAAUAUAUUAUCGUUUAUGUUAU
rnacentral:lncRNA from 1 species